AGAGUUUGAUCAUGGCUCAGAACGAACGCUGGCGGCGUGGAUAAGACAUGCAAGUCGAACGGGAAUCAUGGUGUAGCAAUACAUCGUGGUUUCAGUGGCGAAAGGGUGCGUAACACGUAGCUAUCUACCUUCAAGUGGGGGAUAACGCCGAGAAAUCGGUGCUAAUACCGCAUGUGAACGAAAGUUUAAGACUGGGGAUCGUAAGACCUGGUGCUUGAAGAUGAGGCUGCGGCCUAUCAGCUAGUUGGCGGGGUAAAAGCCCACCAAGGCUUAGACGGGUAGCUGGUCUGAGAGGACGACCAGCCACACUGGAACUGAGACACGGUCCAGACACCUACGGGUGGCAGCAGUCGAGGAUUUUUCUCAAUGGGGGAAACCCUGAAGGAGCGACGCCGCGUGAGGGAUGAAGGUCUUCGGAUUGUAAACCUCUGUCAUCUGGGAACAAUGCGCUCCACCUAACACGUGGAUCGUUGAUAGUACCGGAAGAGGAAGCAGUGGCUAACUCUGUGCCAGCAGCCGCGGUAAUACAGAGACUGCAAGCGUUGUUCGGAUUCAUUGGGCGUAAAGGGUGCGCAGGCGGUGCGCUAAGUCGGAUGUGAAAUCUCACAGCCUAACUGUGAUAGGUCAUUCGAAACUGGCGUGCUUGAGGAUUGGAGAGGAGACUGGAAUAGUCGGUGUAGCGGUGAAAUGCGUAGAGAUCGACUAGAACACCGGUGGCGAAGGCGGGUCUCUGGACAAUUCCUGACGCUCAUGCACGAAAGCCAGGGGAGCAAACGGGAUUAGAUACCCCCGUAGUCC
rnacentral:rRNA from 1 species